UGCUCUCUCCCAACUCAGAAGCUACUGCUGCCUCUGGACGCUCUCAAGAUGGCGACCUCUCUGGGUUCCAACACCUACAACAGGCAGAACUGGGAAGAUGCAGACUUCCCCAUUCUGUGCCAGACAUGUCUUGGAGAAAACCCAUAUAUCCGAAUGACCAAAGAAAAGUAUGGGAAGGAAUGCAAAAUCUGUGCCAGGCCGUUCACAGUGUUUUGCUGGUGCCCCGGAGUCCAUAUGCGUUUCAAGAAGACUGAAGUGUGCCAGACCUGCAGUACAUUGAAGAAUGUCUGUCAGACCUGCCUCUUAGACCUAGAGUAUGGCCUGCCCAUCCAGGUUCGUGACGCAGGAUUGUCUUUUAAAGAUGACAUGCCAAAGUCAGAUGUCAACAAAGAGUACUAUACACAGAAUAUGGAGAGAGAGAUUUCUAACUCUGAUGGAACACGGCCAGUUGGCAUGCUGGGGAAAGCCACAUCUACCAGUGACAUGCUGCUCAAACUGGCCCGGACCACACCCUACUACAAAAGGAAUGACCCCACAUUUGCUCCUUCUGGGUGAAAGGAGAGUGUAAGAGAGGAGAGGAAUGCCCAUAUAGACAUGAGAAGCCUACAGAUCCAGAUGACCCCCUUGCUGAUCAGAAUAUUAAAGAUCGAUACUACGGAAUCAAUGAUCCUGUAGCUGCCAAGCUUCUAAAGCGGGCUUCGACAAUGCCUCGGCUAGACCCACCAGAGGAUAAAACUAUCACCACACUAUAUGUUGGUGGUCUGGGUGAUACUAUUACUGAGACAGAUUUAAGAAAUCAUUUUUACCAGUUCGGAGAGAUCCAGACGAUCACUGUUGUGCACAGACAGCAGUGUGCUUUCAUCCAGUUUGCCAUGAGGCAGGCUACAGAAGUGGCUGCUGAGAAGUCCUUUAAUAAGUUGAUUGUAAAUGGUCGCAGACUGAAUGUGAAAUGGGGAAGAUCCCAAGCAGCCAGAGGAAAAGAAAAAGAGAAAGAUGGAACCACAGACUCUGGGAUAAAACUGGAACUGGUUCCAGGAUUGCCAGGAGCUCUUCCUCCUCCUCCUGCGGCAGAAGAAGCCUCUGCCAACUACUUCAACUUGCCCCCAAGUGGUCCUCCAGCUGUGGUGAACAUUGCCCUGCCACCACCCCCUGGUAUCGCCCCACCCCCCCACCAGGUUUUGGGUCACACAUGUUCCACCCAAUGGGACCACCCCCUCCUUUCAUGAGGGCUCCAGGACCAAUCCACUAACCUUCUCAGGACCCUCAGCGGAUGGGAGCUCAUGCUGGAAAACACAGCAGUCCCUAGCACCUUGUCACCACUCUGGGGCUCUGUGGAAGAAAGGGCACUUAAAAAUCCCAGUACAUCUUGGAAUAAAUGUAUUUUUCCUUCCCUUGUAGUUUCCAUGGUAGGUGAAUGUGCUCAGAUGUGGGCAGUCAGAGACUGACAGCCAUGCUUUCCGAAACGUUCAGAGGAUCAUGCUUUCCGAAACGUUCAGAGGCCAUGAACGUUCAGAGGAUCAGUGUACUGCAAAUAAGCUGCCGUUAACACAUCUGGUUAUUGCUAUAACACGGCUAAUAAAACCUGAUGCCUGUUCCCCUUACCCGUGUUGGGGACAAGCAGGUGAGUGAAUUGGAAUGUCCAGUGGAGUUACCACCCCAAUUAUAUGUUCAUUUUGUAUAUUUUUUGGGUGGGGGAAAAUUGACCUGCAGUAAAAAAACCUUUGACCAUUUUUAUGUCCAUUGGGUUUUUUCCUUUUUAUCAUCUGAAAAAAAAGAUUACUAGUACUAAUCAUUGUAGUGGCCUAAGUGUGACACUUUUGUAGUCACACCCUCAGAAAGAUGAGUAAUAACCAGCACCAGCAUAGUCCAGAUUUUUUCUUUCCGUUUCCUCAUUUAUUCCUAGAGGAAUCUGACCAUUUUAUGUCUCUACAGCCCAAAAAAAGAAAAAUAAAAAUUCCUUUUUAUUCUUGUCAACUGGAUGGAAACACAAAAUUUCAUGGAGCUGUGUACUGUUGAAGAAACCUGGUGUCUGGCGUGAAGUUAUUGUAAAGAACUUCCUAUAAAACAUGUACUUUAACAAACUGAAAUGAAAAGCAUUGGAGUGUCUGAAUGAAAGACUUGUGACCUCCUGCUGGGAAUACGAUGGUCCUCAGCAUUCACCUCCAUGUGUCUUCAGUGUCUCAUUGUCAUCCCUACUUCCGUUUGGUCUUAGAGUGUUUGGAUAUAACUGAACUGUAGAUGGUAAAGGAAAUUUGAUGUGUUUUUUGUUUUUAAAUAAUUAAAAACGGGUCAAUUUUUCAAAAAAUUAAAA